GCCUCGGUAGCUCAAUGGUAGAGCAGUUGACUCUUAAUCAAUUGGUUCACAGUUCAAGUCUGUGCCGAGGCACCA
rnacentral:tRNA from 1 species